AGGUGCAAGAUUGGCUUUACAUGGACGGAGAAGAAGCUAUUGCCACUGAGUUUCAGGAGCGACUUGACUCACUAAAAGCCAUUGGCAGUCCCAUAUCAUUGCUAGGAGCUUACAUCAUGACCAGUAGGAGUUGACUACACUCAAAAAUACCUAACCGAAGUGAAAGGGAUCAUAAAAGAGUGGGAGACGAACAAAACUUGGCUCCCGAAAGUAAAAAUCGACGAGGUGUCAAGGGAAGCAGAGAAGGUAAAAAGCUGGUUGAAGAAGAAUGCCGUUGAGCAGUAAAAGAGUGCUCUGUGGAGCAAACCAGUGUUCGCGUCAGACAUUUAAAACAAACUCUGCACUUGUAUCUCAGAUGGCAACCAAAAAUCUGCUUCUACUCAAUGAAGGGGAAAGUGGAUUAUCAACAGUAUCUUCUACCGAAAUGGUUGAUGCCGCAAACGUAGGAUUGGGUGGUGAGCUAGAUAGCACAUCCGGAAAAUGUAAACAGCGAAAACAAUUGCAAGCCUUGCCGUGAGUGAUAAGAUACUAUAAAUUCCAGCAGACUUAGAGCACCAUUAAUGGGUGUGCUUAAGAGAAUGCUUAGGGGUGGGUCCCACCAUAAGAGAGGAAAAAGCGAUGCCAAAAAUGCCAGAUUAAGCAUCGAGUCUUGCACUGUUUUGCGGAUCCCACUGACAUAUGGCGGUCCGCGAUCGGUUUAUUUUUUUUUAACAAAAAACCAAAAAAAAAAAAAAUUAAGCUCCAUUUGGGAUGCUAGGGUGAAUGAUGCUCUUAUCAACCCCACUUUCAUUUCCUGGUUUUUUAAAUUUAAUAUCCUAUGUUUUCAUAUGGAUUUCGGCUUUCAGGCCUUACGUCGAUAAAACCAAAAAAAAUUGUGUUUGUGGGAAUAAUAUAACUUCAGUUUAAGCCAAAGGCCCUAAACAAACUCAA